rnacentral:rRNA from 1 species
GACGAACGCUGGCGGCGUGCUUAACACAUGCAAGUCGAACGGAAAGGCCCUGCUUUUGUGGGGUGCUCGAGUGGCGAACGGGUGAGUAACACGUGAGUAACCUGCCCUUGACUUUGGGAUAACUUCAGGAAACUGGGGCUAAUACCGGAUAGGAGCUCCUGCUGCAUGGUGGGGGUUGGAAAGUUUCGGCGGUUGGGGAUGGACUCGCGGCUUAUCAGCUUGUUGGUGGGGUAGUGGCUUACCAAGGCUUUGACGGGUAGCCGGCCUGAGAGGGUGACCGGCCAAAUUGGGACCGAGAUACGGCCCAGCCCCCUACGGGGGGGAGGAGGGGGGAAUAUUGCACAAUGGGGGGAAGCCUGAUGCAGCAACCCCGCGGGCGGGAGGGCGGCCUUCGGGUUGUAAACCGCUUUCCCCUGUGACGAAGGGGGAGGGACGGUAAUGGGAAAAGAAGCACCGGCUAACCACGG